rnacentral:rRNA from 1 species
GACAGAGGUGCAAACGUUGCUCGGAAUCACUGGGCGUAAAGGGCGUGUAGGCGGGAAUGUAAGUCGGGCGUGAAAUCCCUAGGCUCAACCUAGGAACUGCACUCGAAACUGCGUUUCUUGAGUACUGGAGAGGAAAGCGGAAUACCUGGUGUAGAGGUGAAAUUCGAUAGAUAUCAGGUGGAACACCGAGCGGCGAAGGCGGACUUUCGUGGACAGUAAC